rnacentral:rRNA from 1 species
GAACGCUAGCGGCAGGCUUAACACAUGCAAGUCGAGGGGUAUAGUAGCAAUACUAGAGACCCGGCGCACGGGUGCGUAACGCGUAUGCAAUCUACCUUUUGCAGGGGAAUAGCCCAGAGAAAUUUGGAUUAAUGCCCCCAUAGUAUAUAGACCUUGCAUGAGGAUUAUAUUAAAGUCACAACGGCAAAAGAUGAGCAUGCGUCCCAUUAGCUAGUUGGUAAGGUAACGGCUUACCAAGGCGACGAUGGGUAGGGGUCCUGAGAGGGAGAUCCCCCACACUGGUACUGAGACACGGACCAGACUCCUACGGGAGGCAGCAGUGAGGAAUAUUGGACAAUGGGCGCAAGCCUGAUCCAGCCAUGCCGCGUGCAGGACGAAGGCCUUCGGGUUGUAAACUGCUUUUGUACAGAACGAAAGGUCUCUAUUAAUACUGGGGGCUCAUGACGGUACUGUAAGAAUAAGCACCGGCUAACUACGUG